UACGAAGGGGGCUAGCGUUGUUCGGAAUUACUGGGCGUAAAGCGCACGUAGGCGGACUUUUAAGUCAGGUGUGAAAUCCCGGGGCUCAACCUCGGAACUGCAUUUGAAACUGGGAGUCUUGAGACCAGGAGAGGUUAGCGGAAUACCGAGUGUAGAGGUGAAAUUCGUAGAUAUUCGGUGGAACACCAGUGGCGAAGGCGGCUAACUGGACUGGUACUGACGCUGAGGUGAGAAAGUGUGGGGAGCAAACAGG
rnacentral:rRNA from 1 species